UGGCGCUCUGCACGGCCAGGUCCACCUCCUUCUCCCCGGAGCACAGCAGCUUGGUUAUCACUCGGCCCGUGGCCGGUUCGUACACGUCCUCGGUCUGCCCGCCGUCAACGGGUUGCACGCGGCCGCCCGCCCGGUAGUUGAGGGGCUGCUGCAGGGAGAAGGUGCCGGUGGCGGUGCUCAUGGCGAGGCCGGGCUGCAGGCGGCGGAGCCGGGGUAAGAGGAACGCCAGCACCAUGGGACGGCACCGCGCACCGCCACGGGGCUCCGCG
rnacentral:lncRNA from 1 species